rnacentral:lncRNA from 1 species
AUGUGCAUGCAAUUCCAAAUGAGUUCUUUAACCCAAACCUGUCACUUUCAAUCUAUUUUCAUCUUUAUUCUUGAACGCCGUCGCGCUGACUGUAGACUGCAUCAUUAUUUCUGCACCAUUUCCACCGUUUGGAAUGACGUCUUUUCCCGCCUUCCUUUAAUUUGUGCUCGGCGUGUGCGGGGGCUGCAUUCCUGCCUGGCCGCCGCUGGCAGCCUGUUGCGCACUUCGGUCUCGCUCAUGGCGCUCCUUCCCACGCUGCGCUGCGGGGCUCUGCUGCUCCUGUGCGGCGCCUCCGCCGCUCCCGUCGCGGGGUGCCGGGGCCGCGGCGACCUCCUCGCCGAGACCGGCGCGGACUGGGACCUGCCGUCGGACUGCGUGCUGAGCUGCACGGCGCUCACCUACCAGCAAAUGCUGCUGAGGCAGGACGCGCGGACCGUGCGCUUCAAGCGGCGCGACGCAGGGGAGCUGGGUGAGUACUGUUGGUCCACCCAGGUGGAGUGCAACGUUGGAGACACCCUGCGUGAAGCUUACAUCGUGGUGCCGGUGGAGUCGUCCGAAGUGAGGAGCGGAUCCCUCGCGCUGCAGGUCUCGUCGCUCACGCAUAUGGACAGGCUGGGACCUCAUCGUGGGAGCACACUCCCCGAGGCAUGUGGCCUGCAUUUUGACGUCACCGCAUACUUCAGACCGUCUGAGCGGCAUUCAGUGUUCUGUGUCCAAACGGUUCCAAAACUGAGUGCCCUUGGAGUGGAACUGAGAUGCCCGCCUUUCCUGGUCACUGUCUGGCAAAAGAUGAACCACUCUCCAAUUAAUCAGGGUGGGGGGUGACUUGACAUUCUCAUUCACGUUCUCUUCAGGAGUGUUAAACUUGUCCACUGUACCACCGUACUGCCUGUUUCUCCACCCCUACUGCAAACACACACACAUGCAAACAGCCAUCCCUUCCCCCAGGGCCUGUCAGGCUGCCAGUAAAGCUGUGGAGAGAGUGUCCAGUGUCUGACCUUUUUCCUUGGCUGAGUCACCAGGCAUAUUAAUGGCUGCACGUGUCCGGGGCCAUGUUCACUCCAGCUGAACUCUCCUCCUACUCCUCCCCGGGCAAUCACAUGCCUAUCACUGACAACCAGACUGACGACUGGCCGAGCAACAUGGAACACGAAAUGCCUGGGCUGGACUGAUCUACAGUUUGUUUUUGUUCUGUUGCCAUGAGGAAAUCACCAACUCUCAGCAAAAUACUUACUUCAGGCCUUUUACAACAGCUAUUAUGACUCAAUAUUCCUUACAUAAUGGCAAACAGCCAUAAAAGUGCAGUUAAUCUCAUAACAUUACAGAAAUCAGGACCUUAGAUUGUUCAGUAACUAUGGUUUACUAAUUCAGUAAUGAAAAUUAAUAAAUAUAUGAAUGUGUUUGCGUACCUGUUGACU